GAUGAAGAACGUAGCGAAAUGCGAUAAGUAGUGUGAAUUGCAGAAUUCAGUGAAUCAUCGAAUCUUUGAACGCACAUUGCGCCCCUUGGUAUUCCAUGGGGCAUGCCCGUUCGAGCGUCAUUUGUACCUUCAAGCUUUGCUUGGUGUUGGGUGUUUGUCUCGCCUUUGCGUGUAGACUCGCCUUAAAAUAAUUGGCAGCCGGCGUAUUGAUUUCGGAGCGCAGUACAUCUCGCGCUUUGCACUCAUAACGACAGCGUCCAAAAGUACAUUUUACACUCUUGACCUCGGAUCAGGUAGGGAUACCCGCUGAACUUAAGCAUAUCAAUAAGCGGAGGA
rnacentral:misc_RNA from 1 species